AAGGAUUUUCUAAGAACUUGUUUAUGUUGAACCUGUUCUUUGAGCUGCUACCAGUGGAUCUUUCUGUGAAGCCAAGCAUUUGGCAUUUAGUUAAUUACAUACAGAUGCUCCAUAGUUUAGGUUGGGCUUGUGUCUUGCUAAACCCAUCAUGAGUUGAACCUGUGUUUGGUAUACCUUCUGGGCAUUGCAACAGAGACCCCCCGGGGUAGCUGGCUUCUGCUUUGUUUGCAUGGUGGGGGUGAUGGGCUGGCUGCUGCCCCACAGCAUCUCAGGAGAGGAUCCUGGAUCUGUAGUCCAAGGAAAGGUCAGGAUUCCUAGUACAUUCCCAUCAUCAUAAAGUCGGGUCUGAGCCAGGGGCUGUGUUUCCUUGCUGUCCAAUACAGAGUGACCACAUCACCCUGUGCGUUGGGGAAACCGGAACCCCGUACCAGUGGCGUGAAUGAGCGUCCUGACACUGCACUAGAAUUGCCCAGUCCCCAUCCCUUAGUUCCCUGUUCGGUUCCUAAACAAACCUCUGGGCUGUUCUCUGCCUGCACUGCCACCUUUUUUUUCCUUUCUGUUUCUUUGGAGGAUCAGGGUCCAACUAUCUAAUUUCCUGCCACUUGUUUUGGAGACCCAGCUGGAGUUCAUGGUUGUUGGCUUCAGCAUGGCAGUGGCAGAGUGAACCAGUAGAUGGAAGGUGUUUUCUGUGUCUCCUCUGUCACUCCUUAAAUAAAUGAAUCUUGCAAGAACAGGGGUAGUGUUGCACAAUAGAUCUACUAUCGCAUGCCGUGUCAGAGUGCUGGCUUGAGUCCCAGCUGCACCUCUUCUGAUCCAGCUUCAGUGAACUUAGACUGUCAUCAGAAGAUGGCCCAGGAACUUGGUCCCUGCCGCCCUGAUGGGAGAGCAGGAUGGAGUGCUUGGCUUUCGCCUGGCCUGGACAUGGCUAUUGUAGCUAUUUGGGAAGUGAACCAGCAAUGGGAAAUCUUUGUUUCUUUGUUAUUUUGCCUUUUGAAAAAAAUAAAUCUUGAGAAGACCACACACAACAAUUUCCUUCCCCUAGGUUCUGUAGGAAUCCCGUGCCUUUGUUUGCUGCAUAGCUGUUCCCUACCUUUCAUGUUCUUGGUACCAUUCUUGUGAUAUUUUUCAUGUUUGGCUUGCAUUUUAGGCCUUGUGUAUGAACUCACCUUUCAUACUAGAAAGUUCCCAGUUUCCCAUAGUGCUUUCUAGGGAGUAAGCAAGUGAAAGAUACUUGUUGGAUCUUCGUGGUUUGAAGGAUUAUCUGUGAGCCACUGUGCUGGACACCAAAAGUGACAAGUUGUUGUGGCCUGCAGCUCCAAAUUUGUUUCAUAAUAACACAAGAGAUAAUUAACUUGCUCUAGGUUGGGGGAGUGAGCACAAGACACCUGAAAAGUGAUGUCCAUAUAGGUAUGAGCAAGUGCAGUGAGGCAAGCACGGACUUUAUGCCUUGGGUGACUGUAACUGCAUUGAAA